rnacentral:rRNA from 1 species
CCUACGGGGGGCAGCAGUGGGGAAUAUUGCACAAUGGGCGCAAGCCUGAUGCAGCCAUGCCGCGUGUAUGAAGAAGGCCUUCGGGUUGUAAAGUACUUUCAGCGGGGAGGAAGGUGUUGUGGUUAAUAACCACAGCAAUUGACGUUACCCGCAGAAGAAGCACCGGCUAACUCCGUGCCAGCAGCCGCGGUAAUACGGAGGGUGCAAGCGUUAAUCGGAAUUACUGGGCGUAACGCGCACGCAGGCGGUCUGUCAAGUCGGAUGUGAAAUCCCCGGGCUCAACCUGGGAACUGCAUUCGAAGCUGGCAGGCUAGAGGCUGGUAGAGGGGGGUAGAAUUCCAGGUGUAGCGGUGCAAUGCGUAGAGAUCUGGAGGAAUACCGGUGGCGAAGGCGGCCCCCUGGACAAAGACUGACGCUCAGGUGCGAAAGCGUGGGGAGCAAACAGGAUUAGAUACCCGGGUAGUCCG